AUUUCUCUGAGAUGUUUGCAAGCGGGCCAGUCCCCUGAGCCGAUAUUUCAUACCACAAGAAUGUGGCGCUCCGCGGUUGGUGAGCAUGCUCGGUUCGUCCGAGAAGCCUUAAAACUGUGACGACACAUUCACCUUGAACCAAGGGUUCAAGGGUUCAAGGGUUACAGCCUGCGGCGGCAUCUCGGAGAUUCC
rnacentral:other from 1 species